UUGAAACACCUGUUCCUGUGCGAUCACCGAUGUUAAGCAACUCCGAACCUGGUCAGUAGCUAGAUGCGUGACUGUUUGGGAAUACCAGGUGCUGUAA